ACCGACCCGGGGACCGCCGGGGCAACCCGGCGCCCCCGAGACGGGGCGAACCACGGUGAAAUGACGGAUCGUCGGCCCCGCGCCGGCGACUCGCCGAAUGAGUUUCUGACCUAUCAACUCGAGACGGCGGGGUAGAGGCCCGCCGCGGUAACGACGGGUAACGGGGAAUCAGGGUUCGAUUCCGGGAGAGGGGAGCCCCGAGAAACGGCUACCACUUCCAAGGAAGGCAGCAGGCGCGCAACUUACCCUAAUCUCGAUUCGAGGAGGUAGUGACAAGAAAUACCGAUGCGGGACCCUACGGGUGCCGCGUUCGGAAUGAGUACGAUUCGAACCACCUAACGAGGAACGAUCGGAGGGCGAAGUCUGGUGCCAGCAGCCGCGGUAAUUCCAGCUCCAAUAGCGUACGUUAAAGUUGCUGCAGUUAAAAAGCUCGUAGUUGAACGUUCGGGUUCCGCGGGGACGGGGCC
rnacentral:rRNA from 1 species